GAUGAACGAUAGCUACAGGCUUAACACAUGCAAGUAGAGGGGAAACGACAUCGAAAGCUUGCUUUUGAUGGGCGUCGACCGGCGCACGGGUGAGUAACGCGUAUCCAACAUGCCCACCACUUGGGGAUAACAUUGCGAAAGUAAAACUAAUACCCAAUGAUAUUUCUAGAAGACAUCUGAAAGAGAUUAAAGAUUUAUCGUUGAUGGAUGGGGAUGCGUCUGAUUAGCUUGUUGGCGGGGUAACGGCCCACCAAGGCUACGAUCAGUAGGGGUUAUGAGAGGAAGGUCCCCCACAUUUGAACUGGGACACGGUCCAAACUCCUACCGGAGGCAGCAGUGAGGAAUAUUGGUUAAUGGGCGAGAGCCUGAACCAGCCAAGUAGCGUGCAGGAUGACGGCCCUAUGGGUUGUAAACUGCUUUUAUAAGGGAAUAAAGUGAGCCUCGUGAGGCUUUUUGCAUGUACCUUAUGAAUAAGGACCGGCUAAUUCCGUGCCAGCCGCCGCGGUAA
rnacentral:rRNA from 1 species